GGCGUGAGGAUGGCUUCACACAGCUGUGGGUAGUUCCUCUGGCUGCAGCG
rnacentral:SRP_RNA from 1 species